rnacentral:rRNA from 1 species
GGUUAAGUUAGAAAGGGCGCACGGUGGAUGCCUUGGCACUAGGAGCCGAAGAAGGACGGGACUAACACCGAUAUGCUUUGGGGAGCUGUACGUAAGCGUUGAUCCAGAGAUUUCCGAAUGGGGGAACCCACUAUCUUUAGUCGGAUAGUAUCCUUACGUGAAUACAUAGCGUGAGGAAGGCAGACCCAGGGAACUGAAACAUCUAAGUACCUGGAGGAAGAGAAAGAAAAAUCGAUUUCCUGAGUAGCGGCGAGCGAAACGGAAAGAGCCCAAACCAAGAAGCUUGCUUCUUGGGGUUGUAGGACACUCUAUACGGAGUUACAAAAGAAAGUUAUAAAUGAAGCGGUCUGGAAAGGCCCGCCAAAGACGGUAACAGCCCGGUAGUUGAAAUAGCUUUCCCUCCAGAGUGGAUCCUGAGUACGGCGGAACACGUGAAAUUCCGUCGGAAUCCGGGAGGACCAUCUCCCAAGGCUAAAUACUCCCUAGUGACCGAUAGUGAACCAGUACCGUGAGGGAAAGGUGAAAAGCACCCCGGAAGGGGAGUGAAACAGUUCCUGAAACCGUGUGCCUACAAGUAGUUAGAGCCCGUUAAUGGGUGAUAGCGUGCCUUUUGUAGAAUGAACCGGCGAGUUACGAUUUGUUGCAAGGUUAAGCGGAAAAAGCGGAGCCGUAGCGAAAGCGAGUCUGAAUAGGGCGCAUAAGUAACAGGUCGUAGACCCGAAACCAGGUGAUCUACCCAUGUCCAGGAUGAAGGUAAGGUAAUACUUACUGGAGGUCCGAACCCACGCACGUUGAAAAGUGCGGGGAUGAGGUGUGGGUAGCGGAGAAAUUCCAAUCGAACUUGGAGAUAGCUGGUUCUCUCCGAAAUAGCUUUAGGGCUAGCCUCGAGGUAAAGAGUCAUGGAGGUAGAGCACUGUUUGGACUAGGGGCCCUUCUCGGGUUACCGAAUUCAGAUAAACUCCGAAUGCCAUGUACUUAUACUCGGGAGUCAGACUGCGAGUGAUAAGAUCCGUAGUCGAAAGGGAAACAGCCCAGACCACCAGUUAAGGUCCCCAAAUAUAUGUUAAGUGGAAAAGGAUGUGGGGUUGCUUAGACAACCAGGAUGUUGGCUUAGAAGCAGCCACCAUUGAAAGAGUGCGUAAUAGCUCACUGGUCGAGUGACCCCGCGCCGAAAAUGUACCGGGGCUAAACAUAUUACCGAAACUGUGGAUGAACCUCUUUAGAGGUUCGUGGUAGGAGAGCGUUCUAAGGGCGGUGAAGUCAGACCGGAAGGACUGGUGGAGCGCUUAGAAGUGAGAAUGCCGGUAUGAGUAGCGAAAGAAGGGUGAGAAUCCCUUCCACCGAAUAUCUAAGGUUUCCUGAGGAAGGCUCGUCCGCUCAGGGUUAGUCGGGACCUAAGCCGAGGCCGAUAGGCGUAGGCGAUGGACAACAGGUAGAGAUUCCUGUACCAGUGCUAAUUGUUUAACCGAUGGGGUGACACAGAAGGAUAGGGAAUCGCACGAAUGGAAAUGUGCGUCCAAGCAGUGAGUGUGAGAAGUAGGCAAAUCCGCUUCUCGCGAAGCAUGAGCUGUGAUGGGGAAGGAAAUUAAGUACGGAAGUUCCUGAUUUCACGCUGUCAAGAAAAGCCUCUAGGAAGAGUAGUACUGCCCGUACCGCAAACCGACACAGGUAGAUGAGGAGAGAAUCCUAAGGUGAGCGAGAGAACUCUCGUUAAGGAACUCGGCAAAAUGACCCCGUAACUUCGGGAGAAGGGGUGCUCUAUUAGGGUGCAAGCCCGAGAGAGCCGCAGUGAAUAGGCCCAGGCGACUGUUUAGCAAAAACACAGGUCUCUGCAAAACCGUAAGGUGACGUAUAGGGGCUGACGCCUGCCCGGUGCUGGAAGGUUAAGAGGAGUGCUUAGCUUCGGCGAAGGUACGAAUUGAAGCCCCAGUAAACGGCGGCCGUAACUAUAACGGUCCUAAGGUAGCGAAAUUCCUUGUCGGGUAAGUUCCGACCCGCACGAAAGGCGCAACGAUCUGGGCACUGUCUCAACGAGAGACUCGGUGAAAUUAUAGUACCUGUGAAGAUGCAGGUUACCCGCGACAGGACGGAAAGACCCCGUGGAGCUUUACUGCAACCUGAUAUGGAAUGUUUGUACCGCUUGUACAGGAUAGGUA